rnacentral:rRNA from 1 species
UACGUAGGGGGCAAGCGUUGUCCGGAAUCAUUGGGCGUAAAGAGCGUGUAGGCGGCCAGAUAAGUCCGCUGUGAAAUCUCGAGGCUCAACUUCGAGCUGUCGGUGGAAACUGUCUGGCUAGAGUGCGGAAGGGGCAACUGGAAUUCUCGGUGUAGCGGUGAAAUGCGUAGAUAUCGAGAGGAACACCUGCGGCGAAGGCGGGUUGCUGGGCCGACACUGACGCUGAUGCGCGAAAGCCAGGGGAGCGAACGGG